GCGGAAGGAUCAUUACCACAUAUCAUCGGGGGAGAACUUCGGUUCUCCUGUCUGAACCCUUGUCUUUUGCGUACUAUUUGUUUCCUUGGUGGGCUUGCCUGCCGAUAGGACAACCAUUAAACCUUUUGUAAUUGCAAUCAGCGUCAGAAAAAACAUAAUAAUUACAACUUUCAACAACGGAUCUCUUGGUUCUGGCAUCGAUGAAGAACGCAGCGAAAUGCGAAAAGUAGUGUGAAUUGCAGAAUUCAGUGAAUCAUCGAAUCUUUGAACGCACAUUGCGCCCCUUGGUAUUCCAUGGGGCAUGCCUGUUCGAGCGUCAUUUGUACCUUCAAGCUUCUGCUUGGUGUUGGGUGUUUGUCCCGCUUUUUUGCGUGGACUCGCCUCAAAGCAAUUGGCAGCCGGCGUACUAGCCUGGGAGCGCAGCACAUUUUGCGCAUCUCGACUUGAACGCUUGCAUCCAUCAAGUUACUUUUUAACUCUUGACCUCGGAUCAGGUAGGGAUACCCGCUGAACUUAAGCAUAU
rnacentral:misc_RNA from 1 species